rnacentral:rRNA from 1 species
AUACGGAGGGUGCAAGCGUUAUCCGGAUUUAUUGGGUUUAAAGGGUGCGUAGGCGGUUUGAUAAGUCAGCGGUGAAAUAUUUAAGCUUAACUGGAAGGGUGCCGUUGAUACUGUCGAGCUUGAAUUUAGUUGCUGUGGGUGGAAUGGGUGGUGUAGCGGUGAAAUGCAUAGAUAUCACACAGAAUAUCGAUUGCGAAGGCAGCUCACAAAGCUAAUAUUGACGCUGAUGCACGAAAGUGUGGGGAUCAAACAGGAUUAGAUACCCUGGUAGUCCACACUGUAAACGAUGAUAACUCGCUGUCGGCGAUACAUAGUCGGUGGCCAAGCGAAAGCGAUAAGUUAUCCACCUGGGGAGUACGACCGCAAGGUUGAAACUCAAAUGAAUUGACGGGG